rnacentral:rRNA from 1 species
ACGUUAGCGGCGGACGGGUGAGUAACACGUGGGUAACCUACCUAUAAGACUGGGAUAACUUCGGGAAACCGGAGCUAAUACCGGAUAAUAUUUAGAACCGCAUGGUUCGAUAGUGAAAGAUGGUUUUGCUAUCACUUAUAGAUGGACCCGCGCCGUAUUAGCUAGUUGGUAAGGUAACGGCUUACCAAGGCGACGAUACGUAGCCGACCUGAGAGGGUGAUCGGCCACACUGGAACUGAGACACGGUCCAGACUCCUACGGGAGGCAGCAGAC